AAAAAAAACGGAUCGUAGCAAGCGCCGCCGCUCCUCCCGAUCGCCCUGAGUCGACCCCGCCUCCGGUCGCCGCCCACGCACCUGCAAGCCGCCGCCGACGUCCUCUGCCAGUCAGCCGCACUCAGCAUCCUCCUCCUCCCUUCUCUCUCCCUCUCCUCACUAAUCUCUCUCUCUCUCCGUUCCCGCACUAUAGGGCUCCACCGGACCGUCCCACACGACUGCCGGCCUCCUCCCGACCAGACCAACGAUGGCGACGACCGGAUCUGACCGGCCCCCUCCGUUUCCGCCUCGCCUAGCCGCAACACUCAUCCGCCCCACCUCUCCCAGCCAGCCCCGCCGCCCCCUCCCUGUCGAGCCCCCUGGUGGUGGACGGUGACAUCUCACCUGGACUAGAUUGGAGAGUUGCAUCCAAUCAGGCCUCCCUCCUCUCCACUAAGUGCAUCUGAUUCUGAACACAGAGUUAUUCACGAUGCUGAUUAGUUUGCUUGUGGAUGUGCUAUUUUUACGCAGGUAAUUUUCAAUUCUCUGACACAAGCCAUUUGUGUGAGCGCUAAUUAACUUAUAUGGUAAGACUCUAUGGGAGGCUCCGACAAUAAAACUAUUUUAGAAGACACGGCAAUAUUUUACUAUAUGAAGUGAAAAUGUACAAGUUGUAGAUGGACAACUAUGGCAGCUCUUCUAUACAGUUAUUUACUGUCCAGCGAGGCCCUCAAAGGAUAUCUAAAGAAGUGAGAAUGUACACCUUGUUUUUCUAGGCGAACAUGACUAGGAUGAGUCAGUAGCAUAGUAGUCAUAGUUAUCUAAAAAAGGAAGUGUCCCAGGCAACAAGAUAAAUUGUUCUGAUGUCCAAUGCAUUGAAGCUAUAAUGCAUAUAUGCUUAGUAAAUUGUUUAGAUUUGUCUGAGACUAAUAAUGACCAACUUAGUGAAUUGUUAAACCUGAAAUUUUGUGUUUUCCAUUUAACACAGUGAAUUGUUUGCACAAUUCAGUUCCGUGUUGAUUGAAUGGACGUGACAUGAUGUUUUCUCCAUGUAACGGACUGAAGUGGAUUGACAUGGCUUCUGUCCAUCAUGCAGUUAUGUGCUUUUCUUCCUUGUUGCAGUGUUGCGCAUCUUUGCUGUGACUCCAUGAGUAUGAAAGCUAUAUUUACUCCUAAGCUAUGAGUGUCCUCUAACUUCCUUCCAUGAGAGGUAUUUGCUCUCAGUCCCUGCCAUCCUUAUUACGAGGGAUGCAACAAGGUUCAAUGGAUCAUGACGUUUGGACUAGAUUUGAAUCUGUAUCUACCAAAUCUAUGCGUACAUUUUUAUGCUAUAAAUUUCUUUUUCUUUCAGUAUCCUAUUGAAGUUCUAUCAGCCGACAGGUGCAUUGCACUGUUGAGGAGACACAUGCAUUUGUAUUCGAUAUUGAAGCGAGCCUGACACCCUGAAAGAACUAUACAAUGAUAUUUGGCUAUUGCUUUCAGUAUUAGAGAAGCAUAGAAACAGAACUGCAUGGCUUACUGUAUUUUUAUGUGGCAGUCCUCUAUGCCAUCAUGCCAUACUAUUUAUUUUGAGCAACCUUUCUAUGGUAUUUUGUUGGACAAUUUUUAGUGUAAUCUCAAGCACCUCAAUAUAUGGUAAACAACUGCAUGCUUGGGUA